rnacentral:rRNA from 1 species
CAGUCGCCACGGUAAUACGUAGGGUGCGAGCGUUAAUCGGAAUUACUGGGCAUAAAGCGUGCGCAGGCGGUUUUGUAAGACAGGCGUGAAAUCCCCGGGCUCAACCUGGGAAUGGCGCUUGUGACUGCAAAGCUAGAGUGCGGCAGAGGGGGAUGGAAUUCCGCGUGUAGCAGUGAAAUGCGUAGAUAUGCGGAGGAACACCGAUGGCGAAGGCAAUCCCCUGGGCCUGCACUGACGCUCAUGCACGAAAGCGUGGGGAGCAAACAGGAUUAGAUACCCCCGUAGUCCCUGUCUCUUAUAC